GACGAACGCUGGCGGCGUGCUUAACACAUGCAAGUCGAACGGAAAGGCCCUGCUUUUGUGGGGUGCUCGAGUGGCGAACGGGUGAGUAACACGUGAGUAACCUGCCCUUGACUUUGGGAUAACUUCAGGAAACUGGGGCUAAUACCGGAUAGGAGCUCCUGCUGCAUGGUGGGGGUUGGAAAGUUUCGGCGGUUGGGGAUGGACUCGCGGCUUAUCAGCUUGUUGGUGGGGUAGUGGCUUACCAAGGCUUUGACGGGUAGCCGGCCUGAGAGGGUGACCGGCCACAUUGCGACUGAGAUACGGCCCAGACUCCUACGGGAGGCAGCAGUGGGGAAUAUUGCACAAUGGGCGGAAGCCUGAUGCAGCAACGCCGCGUGCGGGAUGACGGCCUUCGGGUUGUAAACCGCUUUCGCCUGUGACGAAGCGUGAGUGACGGUAAUGGGUAAAGAAGCACCGGCUAACUACGUG
rnacentral:rRNA from 1 species